AACUUUCAACAAUGGAUCACUUGGCUCUCGCAUCGAUGAAGAACGCAGCGAAAUGCGAUACGUAAUGUGAAUUGCAGAAUUAAGUGAAUCAUCGAAUCUUUGAACGCACCUUGCGCCCCUUGGCAUUCCGAGGGGCACACCCGUUUGAGUGUCGUGAAAUUCUCAAACCUUCUUGGUUUCUUGAUCAAGAUGGCUUUGGACUUUGUAGGCAUUUUGCUGGCUUUGCUAUAGGCCAGCUCCUCUUAAAUACAUUAGUGGGCUCCCGUUUGACGGUCCCCAGGCGUAAUAAGAUAUUUCGACGUCUUGGGAUUUGCUUUGUUCCUUGGGAACCCGCUUCCUACCGUCUCAUGGGAGACUUCGUUCGAGUUUGCUCGUCCAAUGAACCUUGCCAUCAAAUCGUGUUAGACUACCCGCUGAACUUAAGCAUAUCAAUAAGCGGAGGCG
rnacentral:misc_RNA from 1 species